UUUUCCUACGGGAGGCAGCAGUGAGGAAUAUUGGUCAAUGGGCGCGAGCCUGAACCAGCCAAGUAGCGUGAAGGAUGACUGCCCUACGGGUUGUAAACUUCUUUUAUAAAGGAAUAAAGUGAGGCACGUGUGCCUUUUGUAUGUACUUUAUGAAUAAGGAUCGGCUAACUCCGUGCCAGCAGCCGCGGUAAUACGGAGGAUCCGAGCGUUAUCCGGAUUUAUUGGGUUUAAAGGGUGCGUAGGCGGUCGGAUAAGUUAGAGGUGAAAUCCCGAGGCUCAACUUCGGAAUUGCCUCUGAUACUGUU
rnacentral:rRNA from 1 species